CCUGCUUAAUAAACAUUUGUUUUUAAAAGCUGGAAGAGCUCUUGGAUAACUUCUGGGCCUCCUUGGAGGCACGUCAGACAGCCACACCAUCGCAACCUAGUGAGGAGAUCCAAGAGAUGAGGGAUCAACGGGGCAAAACCCUGCAGCAUCACCCACGAAAGCAAGGUACGAUCAAGACCCUUUGCUUUCCGCCUGUGAGGCAGGACUUGGUCACUCUGGGCUCCC